ACUGUCAGCAGUUUGACUACAAGUAAAUCUUCGUAUAUAGACAAAAAUGUGCCCUGGAAAUGGCAGAAUCACUUUUUCAACUAACUAGUGAAUUCAAAAACUUGUAUGACACAGGAAAGCAAUCAAGAGCUUUUCAUUUUCCGUCUGCAUCCAACAAUGCUCGUCAGCGCUCCAAAGAAGAUUCGGACUCAGACGAUGACGAUGACG